AUUGAACGCUGGCGGCAGGCUUAACACAUGCAAGUCGAGCGAGCGGCGGACGGGUGAGUAAUGUCUGGGAAACUGCCUGGUGGAGGGGGAUAACUACUGGAAACGGUAGCUACAACCGCAUCCCAUCAGAUGUGCCCAGAUGGGAUUUGCUAGUAGGGGGGGUAAUGGCUCACCUAGGCGAGGAUCCGUAGCUGGUCUGAGAGGAGGACCAGCCACACUGGAACUGAGACACGGUCCAGACUCCUACGGGAGGCAGCAGUGGGGAAUAUUGGACAAUGGGCGAAAGCCUGAUGCAGCCAUGCCGCGUGUGUGAAGAAGGCCUUCGGGUUGUAAAGCACUUUCAGCGAGGAGGCGUUACUCGCAGAAGAAGCACCGGCUAACUCCGUGCCAGCAGCCGCGGUAAUAC
rnacentral:rRNA from 1 species